GCUAUGAAUAGGGAUUUGUUGACAAUAUUAACAGCAUAUAGCUUAGGGUAGAUUUCAGAGACAUGUUACUACUCAGCCAGUUUGUGAACGAUUAGGGGAAAUUGAGAAGUACCUGAGUGAGAGGCAACAUCCAGGAGGUCUAGUUCAGACCGCCUCCAAAUGAAAACUGAAGGAUCAGUCAACAGUAAGAACAUCCUGUAGAAAUGUUUGUCUCUGUAAUAAAGUAACUGCAGUUUAAAAAAAGAAAAGGACCUGACAUUCAGUCGUUCAUUCCAGAAAUUGCUUUCAGAUCAGAAAAAUCCAUUUUGGAGUGGGGCAAGAAAUAUACUUUUUACUUUCUCCCUGUCAUGUGAUCAUCUCUUCAUUACAAGGAAUGGCCUGUGCAGCUGGGUCCAGAAGUAAUUGGACUCUGACCACUGCUUCCUUAACAAAUCAGAACAAAGGACAACGAAAACACACAGUAGUCAGAAUACUGAAGAUAAUUGAAAAGAAGAAAAGAGAAAAUUGCAAAAGGAAUUGGGUUUGGCAGGAAGGUUUCCUCUGCUCAAAUGUGAUGUAAAAAUAUAAUUUCCAUUUUCCACCAGCAUAUCAUAUGUUCCACUCAAAGUGACGUCCGAACUCUUGAUUCAGGAUGUCAUUUGGGAGUACCCACACAUUACUUUGCUAUUAACUAAGGUUGUUUGAUUUAUUAUUUUGUCACUGUCCUCUCCAAAAAUAUAAAAUGGAGGGUUUCAAAUACCAUCACAGCUACUAAAAAGGUGAACAAUUAUGAUUUUAGGUGUAAGCUCAUUAAACAAUUAUGUUAUAGGCGAGAAGGAAAGAGUUUUCUAGUUAAAAGUGAGGUGUAGUUUUGUGUGAUAGGAAAAGAAAGAUUACUGGAGAAUUAUAGCCAACUAAAUUCCAGAAAUUCAAUUCUAUAAGUAAUUUACUAAAUAUGUAUCAGG